GCCUCUGUGGUCUGUGGUAAAGACACUCCCGAUUUAUUAACAGAGUGGAAUCUGGGAGGGUUGAGGGUUCGAAUCCCUUCGGAGGCA